rnacentral:lncRNA from 1 species
AGCUCCUCAUCUUGUGAAGAGUACUCAAGGUCCAGUACUCGGGCUCCCGUCUGAGUCAGAGUUCCAGAGAGCUGUCGAUGUUUUUCGAAGCUUCCAGGUGUGUUUUCUUUGCUUGUGUGACAGAUUUUAGUAAUUAAGGGACUUGACCGAUUGCAUUGCUUUGCAGGAUCUGUAUGACUAGACGCAAAGGAACACUCAAGCCCUUCAGGAACGAAACGAGCGAUUGGAGCAGGAGUGUGCCCGGCUUAC